AUUGAACGCUGGCGGCAGGCCUAACACAUGCAAGUCGAACGAGUGGCGGACGGGUGAGUAAUGUCUGGGAAACUGCCUGAUGGAGGGGGAUAACUACUGGAAACGGUAGCUAAUACCGCAUACCAUCAGAUGUGCCCAGAUGGGAUUAGCUCGUAGGUGGGGUAACGGCUCACCUAGGAGUCGAUCCCUAGCGGGUCUGAGAGGAUGACCAGCCACACUGGAACUGAGACACGGUCCAGACUCCUACGGGAGGCAGCAGUGGGGAAUAUUGCACAAUGGGCGCAAGCCUGCUGCAGCCAUGCCGCGUGUAUGAAGAAGGCCUUCGGGUUGUAAAGUACUUUCAGCGGGGAGGCGUUAACCGCAGAAGAAGCACCGGCUAACUCCGUGCCAGCAGCCGCGGGAAUAC
rnacentral:rRNA from 1 species